GAUCCUGACUCAGGAUGAACGCUAGCUACAGGCUUAACACAUGCAAGUCGAGGGGCAGCACGGUCUAGCAAUAGACUGAUGGCGACCGGCGCACGGGUGAGUAACACGUAUCCAACCUGCCGAUUAUUCCGGGAUAGCCUUUCGAAAGAAAGAUUAAUACUGGAUAGCAUAACGAGAAGGCAUCUUCUUGUUAUUAAAGAAUUUCGAUAAUCGAUGGGGAUGCGUUCCAUUAGUUUGUUGG
rnacentral:rRNA from 1 species